GCGCGAGUGCUGGAAUUGGCAGACAGGCACGUUUGAGGGGCGUGUGUCUCUGACGUACGGGUUCAAGUCCCGUUUCGCGCACCA
rnacentral:tRNA from 1 species